rnacentral:rRNA from 1 species
GACGAACGCUGGCGGCGUGCCUAACACAUGCAAGUCGAACGAGGUCCAUCCUUCGGGAGAAGACCUAGUGGCGAACGGGUGAGUAACACGUGAAGAACCUGCCCCGAAGACCGGGAUAACCCUCCGAAAGGAGAGCUAAUACCGGAUACCCCCACCGAACCGCAUGGUUUGGUGAGGAAAUGGAUUCCGCUUCGGGAGGGCUUCGCGGCCUAUCAGCUAGUUGGUGGGGUAACGGCCCACCAAGGCAUCGACGGGUAGCUGGUCUGAGAGGACGAUCAGCCACACUGGGACUGAGACACGGCCCAGACUCCUACGGGAGGCAGCAGUGGGGAAUCUUGCGCAAUGGGCGAAAGCCUGACGCAGCAACGCCGCGUGGGGGAUGAAGGGCUCUCGGGUUGUAAACCCCUUUCAGCAGGGACGAAUCAAGACGGUACCUGCAGAAGAAGCCCCGGCUAACUACGUGCCAGCAGCCGCGGUAU